GGACGAACGCUGGCGGCGUGCCUAAUACAUGCAAGUCGAACGGUCUUUCUAUGGAAGCUUGCUUCCACUGAGAAGAUAGUGGCGAACGGGUGAGUAACACGUGGGUAACCUGCCCAUAAGAGGGGGGAUAACAUCCGGAAACGGGUGCUAAUACCGCAUAGUUUUCUUGAUUGCAUGAUUGAGAAAGGAAAGACGGCCUUUGUGCUGUCGCUUAUGGAUGGACCCGCGGCGUAUUAGUUAGUUGGUGAGGUAACGGCUCACCAAGACGAUGAUACGUAGCCGACCUGAGAGGGUGAUCGGCCACAUUGGGACUGAGACACGGCCCAAACUCCUACGGGAGGCAGCAGUAGGGAAUCUUCCGCAAUGGACGAAAGUCUGACGGAGCAACGCCGCGUGAGUGAAAGAAGGUUUUCGGAUCGUAAAACUCUGUUGUCAGAGAGGAACAAGUUGGAGAGUAACUGCUCCAGCCUUGACGGUAUCUGACCAGAAAGCCACGGCUAACUACGUGCCAGCCGCCGC
rnacentral:rRNA from 1 species